CUGGUGCAUUUGAAGGUCAAGGCUUCUUCCAAAGAAAUAUUUUCUGUCUCUGUUUGCUGUGUACUGCUAAUCAGUAGUAAACAUUUGUAUUUAUGCAAAUACAAAGCCUAAUGAUCAAGAAAGGACCAUGUUAAUAUCACAGUGUGGACAAGAUUAUUCCCAAUGAUUUGAGACACUAUGUGUUGGUUUUCAAUGAGACAGGUAAAUUGAUUCAGCCUCCCUGAAGGCACACUGCUACUGACAUGACAGAGCUGGAUGAAUGAGAUGCUGAUGAACAGGGUCCACUCUUCCUGCAUAUGCUAUGGUCUUAAGUUUAAAUCAGCCAUGAAAUAGCAUUCAAAGGCUGAGGUGAGCACAGGGAUGAAGCAUGAAGUGAAAU